rnacentral:rRNA from 1 species
CCUACGGGAGGCAGCAGUGAGGAAUAUUGGUCAAUGGGCGAGAGCCUGAACCAGCCAAGUCGCGUGAGGGAGUACUGCCCUAUGGGUUGUAAACCUCUUUUGUCGGGGAGCAAAAGCCGGACGUGUCCGGCUGUGAGAGUACCCGAAGAAAAAGCAUCGGCUAACUCCGUGCCAGCAGCCGCGGUAAUACGGAGGAUGCGAGCGUUAUCCGGAGUUAUUGGGUUUAAAGGGUGCGCAGGCGGAUUUGUAAGUCAGCGGUCAAAUCGUGGGGCUCAACCCCAUCCUGCCGGUGAAACUGGGGAUCUAGAGUGUGCGAGAGGUAUGCGGAAUGCGUGGUGUAGCGGUGAAAGGCAUAGAUAUCACGAAGAACUCAGAUUGCGAAGGCAGCUUACUAAACUGCCACUGACAUGGAUGCUCGAAAGUGUGGGUAUCAAACAGGAUUAGAUACCCGAGUAGUC